rnacentral:rRNA from 1 species
AGCGAACGUUUGCGGCGGGCCUAACACAUGCAAGUCGAACGCACUAGCAAUAGUGAGUGGCGCACGGGUGCGUAACACGUGGGUAAUCAACCCUUCAGCCUGGGAUAACGACUUGAAAGGGUCGCUAAUACCGGAUGCGGCGCGAGAGGCUUCGGCUUCUCACGAGAAAGCCACGCAAGGGGCACUGAAGGACGAGCCUGCGGCCCAUCAGCUAGUUGGUGAGGUAAGAGCUCACCAAGGCGAAGACGGGUAGCUGGUCUGAGAGGAUGAUCAGCCACACUGGAACUGAGACACGGUCCAGACUCCUACGGGAGGCAGCAGUGGGGAAUAUUGCGCAAUGGGCGAAAGCCUGACGCAGCCACGCCGCGUGAGCGAUGAAGGCCUUCGGGUCGUAAAGCUCUGUGGGGAGAGACGAAGAAAGCCUGUGAAGAGCAGGCCUUGACGGUAUCUCCUUAGCAAGCACCGGCUAACUCCGUGCCAGCAGCCGCGGUAAUACGGAGGGUGCAAACGUUGCUCGGAAUCAUUGGGCGUAAAGCGCACGUAGGCGGCGAAGCAAGUUGGGUGUGAAAGCCCUGGGCUCAACCCAGGAAGUGCAUUCAAAACUGCUUCGCUUGAAUCUCGGAGGGGGUCAGAGAAUUCCCGGUGUAGAGGUGAAAUUCGUAGAUAUCGGGAGGAAUACCAGUGGCGAAGGCGCUGACCUGGACGAAGAUUGACGCUGAGGUGCGAAAGCGCGGGGAGCAAACAGGAUUAGAUACCCUGGUAGUCCGCGCUGUAAACGAUGAGUGCUAGACGGUGGAGGUAUUGACCCCUUCGCUGCCGAAGCUAACGCGUUAAGCACUCCGCCUGGGGAGUACGGUCGCAAGACUAA